rnacentral:rRNA from 1 species
UACGUAGGCAGCAAGCGUUGUUCGGAGUUACUGGGCGUAAAGGGUGUGUAGGCGGUUAUUUAAGUUUGGUGUGAAAUCUCCGGGCUCAACCCGGAGGGGCCACCCGAUACUGCUGUGACUCGAGUCCGGUAGGGGAGUGGGGAAUUCCUGGUGUAGCGGUGAAAUGCGCAGAUAUCAGGAGGAACACCGGUGGCGAAGGCGCCACUCUGGGCCGGUACUGACGCUGAGGAGCGAAAGCGUGGGUAGCAAACAGG